UACGUAGGGCGCAAGCGUUAUCCGGAAUUAUUGGGCGUAAAGAGCUUGUAGGCGGUUUGUCGCGUCUGCCGUGAAAAUCCGGGGCUCAACCCCGGACUUGCGGUGGGUACGGGCAGACUAGAGUGUGGUAGGGGAGACUGGAAUUCCUGGUGUAGCGGUGAAAUGCGCAGAUAUCAGGAGGAACACCGAUGGCGAAGGCAGGUCUCUGGGCCACUACUGACGCUGAGAAGCGAAAGCGUGGGGAGCGAACAGG
rnacentral:rRNA from 1 species